UACGAAGGGGGCUAGCGUUGUUCGGAAUCACUGGGCGUAAAGGGAGCGUAGGCGGGUUCUUAAGUAAGGUGUUUAAUCCCGGGGCCCAACCCCGGACCGGCACUUUAAACUGGGAAUCUUGAAUAGUGGAGAGGUCGGUGGAAUUGGGGGUGUAGCGGUGGAAUGCGUAGAGAUCCCCAAGAACACCAGUUGCGAAGGCGGCCGACUGGACACAUAUUGACGCUGAGGCUCGAAAGCAUGGGGAGCAAACAGG
rnacentral:rRNA from 1 species